rnacentral:rRNA from 1 species
GUGAGGAAUAUUGGUCAAUGGGCGGGAGCCUGAACCAGCCAAGUCGCGUGAAGGAAGAAGGAUCUAUGGUUCGUAAACUUCUUUUGCAGGGGAAUAAAGUGCAGGACGUGUCCUGUUUUGUAUGUACCCAGAGAAUAAGGAUCGGCUAACUCCGUGCCAGCAGCCGCGGUAAUACGGAGGAUCCGAGCGUUGUACGGAUUUAUUGGGUUUAAAGGGUGCGUAGGUGGUUUGAUAAGUCAGCGGUGAAAGUUUGCGGCUUAACUGUAAAAAUGCCGUUGAAACUGUCGGACUUGAGUGUAAAUGAGGUAGAGGGAAUGCGUGGUGUAGCGGUGAAAUGCAUAAAUAUCACGCAGAACUCCGAUUGCGAAGGCAGCUUACUAAGCUACAACUGACACUGAAGCACGAAAGCGUGGGGAUCAAACAGGAUUAGAAACCCUGGUAGUCC